rnacentral:rRNA from 1 species
AACCAACAGGGAUUGCCUUAGUAACGGCGAGUGAAGCGGCAAAAGCUCAAAUUUGAAAUCGAACUCCCGUUCGAGUUGUAAUUUGUAGAAGUAACUUUUGAUUGAGCUCUGGUGGAAGUUCCUUGGAACAGGAUACCAUAGAGGGUGAGAGUCCCGUUCUGUCGGAAGUCUCAAUCUUGUAAAGUGCUUUCAAAGAGUCGAGUUGUUUGGGAAUGCAGCUCUAAGUGGGUGGUAAAUUCCAUCUAAAGCUAAAUAUUGGCGAGAGACCGAUAGCGAACAAGUACAGUGAUGGAAAGAUGAAAAGAACUUUGAAAAGAGAGUGAAAAAGUACGUGAAAUUGCUGAAAGGGAAGGGCUUGAAAUCAGACUUGGCUUGUAGUGAUCAUCUAUCUCUUGGGAUGGUGUACUCGCUGCUUGCUAGGCCAGCAUGGGUUUGGGGGGAGUGAUAAUAGCCUUGGAAUGUGGCUUGGUGCACUUGUGUGCUGAGUGUUAUAGCCUUGGUUGAUAGCUCCACUCCGGAUCGAGGACUGCUUUUACAGGAUGCUGGCGUAAUGAUUUUAAGCCGCCCGUCUUGAAACA